CGUCUUUAAGCAGUCAGUUCCGAAUUCCAAGUUCAGAGUCCCAAGUCGUCAGUUGUCAGAUCCAGUUCUAAACUUUGAGUAUCGGUCUGCUUUUCAACCUUCGCGGUUCUUAGUGAAGGGUCACCUCGGUACCCAUUCAAUCACGAGAAAUCGCAUCUCUGAGAAAAUCCGUGUGGUACAUCGGCAAAUGCCAGAUAUUGUGCGAAAUCUCAGCCCUGCAGCCUGCCUCCCUCUUCUUUCAAGGGCAAAGUACUUCUUUCAAUCUACUAUAUUGAACCAGCCGACAUUGAAAGUCUACCUUUCUAAAGUAAUAAUGAUAACACGAAUCGGUAUCCAUAAUAUAUAUAUGAACUACAUAUAUAUAAACGUACGUCAUCUUGGAAAAAAAAACGCAGAGAACGGCAGCCGGUUUGAGAUACCACUUGAAAUACAUUUAAAAUAAAAAACUAUAAUAAUAUAUUGUGACAUCCUGGACGGACCGCGACAUGCGUAACAACAGCGGCUCCGCCACGCUUAGCAGCUAAUUAAGCCGAGAGGAAAGGUAGGCGGGAGAGGGAUAAGUGCAACAAGAAAAACAGAGCAGACAGCAGCUUUAAGGGGCAAAGCGGUAAUACUAACUACACGUUAGUAUCAUACAUUUUAAAAUAAAAGUUCAAUAAUACACGUGCAGGAUGCCCAUAAUUUGCAUAGUUUGCAAGAAGUUCCACAUUCCUGGUAACUCUAGCAGUUUUCACAAGUUUCCAAGUGACAAUAUACAAAGACAAAAUGGAUGUCUGUAUUUGGACUUUUAUCCAUCACAAAAAGUGCUACAAUAUGUAAUGAUCAUUUUAACGAUGAUGCAUUUCAUCAAACAGAUAGCUAUACAAAAGUCAGACGAUUGGUGCCAGGUGCUAUUCCUGUAAACAAGUCAGUGGAUUCCAUCAAAACAAAUAUUCAAGUGGAGAAUAACACAACAAUUUGUGAUGCACGGACCAACUUAAACUUAGAAAAGUCUGAGUGUGUAAAUAUGUAAGUUGAGGAAAAUCUAAAAGAAAUUGGAACUGAACUCGAUUCUUCUUCAUUGUUGAUGGUACACAAAGAAGUUGAACAAAUCAAAGAAACAGUGUCUGAUUUAAAUGCAUCCAUAUCUUCACACGCUGAUGUUGAAGACCAAGACAGUAAUAGAAAAGGUCCAACAAGUGAUGUUAUUGAAGACAUUCCUGUGAAAAAAAAAGAUUGAAAGACAGUUAUAAAAAACUAUUAUUAAACAAUACAAAUAUUUUAGUGCCAUCAUCAGCUAAUUGCAUACCUCAGGACGAGACGUUAAUGAUAUCGAACGCAACUGAUGCACCAUUAUUCGCGAAAUCUGAUAUCGUUAGUGAUAUCUCAACAAACGCCUGCACUUCCUCUCUCACAACUACAAAACUACCGGCGAGUAAAAAAAUCAAAUCUUCGCGCACCGCUCCCUCAUUUCCCGUUGAGAAUUUUUUGCAUAAGCACAGUCACUUGCUUAAUCACGAUUAUGUUCACGAAGAAACGUAGGUUCAAUCGGAAUAUUUGGACGACAUAAUUAGACAUGUGGCCGGAGCGGUA